AUAGGUCGUUCUCUUUGAGUGACGCACGUCUCCACCAAUCAGAGUGAGAGUUGUCCCCUCGUCACUCGUCAGGGUCCUUUGUAUCACCGCUCGGGAGUUUCGACUUGGUUGUGGCGCCGACCUCUCGCGAGACGUACACUGGAGCAACAAUGGUGAAGAUUUUCAUCGGGAACCUGGCUCCUGAGGCCGGGAAGGAGGAAGUGGAAGCUCUGUUCACUGAGUACGGCACCGUCACAGAGUGUGCAAAGUAUAAAAACUAUGCUUUUGUGCACAUGGAAGACCGCAAGGCAGCUAACAAAGCCAUCGCAGAGCUUGAUAAGUACAAGCUGAACGGACGGCCUAUCAACGUGGAGCCCAGCAGAGGGAAGAACCAGGGCCCCGUGAAGCUCCACAUCGCCAAUGUAGAGCGGGGCUUCGACAAAGAGCUCCGCGAGCUGUUCAAAGAAUACGGUACGGUCACUGAGUGCGCCAUCGUCAAAAACUUUGCCUUCGUGCACAUGAUGAAUUCUGACGAGGCCAUGGACGCCAUACAGGGUCUGGAUAACACCGAGUUCCAAGGAAAGCGCAUACACGUCCAGAUCUCAAAAAGUAGACCGCGAGGACACGAAGAGAUGGGGGAGUAUCCACCUCCACCAGGCAGAGGAGGGUACUAUCCUCCUCGCUACCCAGGGGAGAGGCCUGAACCUCCCUACAGGGGUCGCAUGCCUGCUUACCCUCCUCCACCUCCUCCUCCUCCAUCGCCCCCUCCUCCGAGGCGAGCGCCGUACCCCGAGCGCGGCUACGGGGAGCGAGAAGCCUACGGUGUGGUCGACUACUACGAGCGCUACAGAGCCCGCCCCUACAGCACGGGAGGCUACGACGACAGGCGACCUCGUGCCAUCCCGCCUCCCCCCCCGCCUCCUCCCUCUGCUUUGGUGAGAGAACGUCUCCCAAUUGACCCGUACGACCGCCGUCCGCUCCCACCGCCUCCUCCGUCCUACAUGGUGAGGGACCGCAGCCCCAUCAGACGAGCCCCGCUUCCUCCCCCUCCUCCAGCUGGUAACGGGUACUCGUACGAGCGCUCUCGCCUCUCCCCGCUGUCAAGACCUCAGAUGUACGCCGCUCCCCGCCCCAGGGACCCCUUCUCCGAGAGAGUGCCACUACCACCACCACCGCCCCGAUACGCAGGCUACUAGACUCACACUGGAAUACAAGGUGAGACAGACGGGGUUGUUAAACUCUAAGCAGGAGUUGCCACUUCCUGGUAAGUCAUCGUUGAAGACGUGCAGCACGGUGAGGAGGCGAGGCCUCUCUGCUCCUGGAGCUGUCACAAGUCUCUAAACAGGCCAUGCUGGAAACAGACGGGAUCAGGCGGUCCUUUAUUUGAAGGAGGCGAAUGAGGUCCCUGGAGGAAGGUUCGGUCUGUUGGUCUGUGAGCUGGAGUGAGAAGUCCUCAAACCUGCAGGGCUGCUCCUCUGCAGCUGAAAGAAAAUAACAUUCAGCUGUGUGCAUAUAAACAUGUUUUUAAAAAGUGCACCACCACAACAGUCCUCCGUCCAGACCUCUAACUCGCUGCUUCAAUCAAAGUUUGAAACUUUUUGAUGUUUUUACCUGUAAGCUACACACGUUACAUCAGACUACAUCAAACUAAUGUGAAUACACUUGAUGAAGCUUAAAAGAGUCUUUCAUUGGGACUCUCUGUACAUGAUACUGUCGGCCAUCAUAGAAUCAUUAGGAUUAGAUCUCCCUUCCGUCAGAAUGGCUAGAAAUAUGACCUUGAAACGGUUGUUUGACCUUUAAAUCCACAGUGAUAUAUAAGCUUUACGAGCUACUACUAGUGCCUUUAACUUCUGCAUCUCAUCUUGUUUUAUUGCAUUUUAUUGUAUUAUAAUAUUUAUUUAAUAUUGAAAAGCACAUGCAAAUAUGUGCCUCACUUGAAAUUGUUGAAAGGUUUAAUUCCACACAUUCUCGGAGACUCUUACUUUUCAGUGAAGUUAAAUAAUGCUGACCUCAAACCUGAAGGAAGAAAUCCCAAAGCUUGAAUUCAUGUUUUUUUUAUGUUUAUGUGCUUUAAUAAAGAAAAAUACAGAAUUAAAUU